rnacentral:rRNA from 1 species
UACGUAGGGGGGCAAGCGUUGUCCGGAUUUAUUGGGCGUAAAGAGCUCGUAGGCGGUUCCGUAAGUCGUGAAGUCAAAUCUCUGGGCUCAACCCAGAAUCGCUUCCGAUACUGCGGUGACUGGAGUCCGGUAGGGGAGUGUGGAAUUCCUGGUGUAGCGGUGAAAUGCGCAGAUAUCAGGAAGAACACCCGUGGCGAAGGCGGCUCUCUGGGACGGUACUGACGCUGAGACGCGAAAGCGUGGGGAGCGAACAGG